CAGGGAAGGAGCAGGCCAGCUCAAACUACGUUCAUAAAGAAGUUCUCCAGUUUUUAAACAACGGAACAGAACAGCUUGAAAUUUUUUUCUAUUUUUCCCCACUUCUAACAACAUCAAUUCCAGCCGAAGAAGCAGAAACAUCAAGAAGGAAAAGUUCUUCUGAAAAAUAGGAUCCCUGGUGCUCUUUUCCCACACUCAUCAAAAAGUCGCCUCUGCCAAGAGUGCCUUCUCUUCACCUCAUGAUGAAAACCAAUCCCGUUGCUGCGAUCUGCUAGUCUAAAACACAACACAUUUCCUUUACAACACAUGCUUCAGCCUGUGAAGAUGGUUCCAGCUCAGAAGUGGCAAUCACAUUCAUCAAGAGAUAUCCUAGUAACAGGCAGGACCUCCUGAUCCGGAGAUCCCGAGUUUACCAGGAGACCAGUGAACUCUCAAAGAAAGGACAUCAGGACCUGCACCUCAGCUCAGCUCAUCAUGGGUCACUUUCCAGGAACUGUGAUGAAGAAAGACAGAUUUGUGAAGUAGC
ensembl:lncRNA LOC120099033 uncharacterized LOC120099033